AUGGUUUGGUUAAAUAAAUAAAAAAUAAAAAAAAUAAAAAAUCUGUUCUUAUCAGUUUAAUAUCUGAUACGUCCCCCAUCGGGGGACUACAUAUUAAAUGGAUUUUUCGAACAGGGAGUCGGAAAUGGGGCUUGCUCCGUCCGCUCCACGCAUCGACCCGGUAUUGCAGUACCUCCGGGAACGGUGCAACACUU
rnacentral:snRNA from 1 species